UCAGGUCACAGGAACGAGGAGUGACCUGGGACAGGAGCUUUCUGGUUUCCAGUUUCUGUCCCAGAGCUGAUCCUGUGCCAUAGAGCUACAUACACAAAUACCGCCAGGAAAGAGCUAGUUUCCCAGGAGUGCCUAAACACCUGCAACCACAGAUGCAGCAUGGCCAGCCAGCCUCUUAUUCCUGCAGCAAUGAUGUCCUCACCAUGAUGGACCCUGCAUCUUUGAACCACAAACAAAAAGCUUCCUUGCUUCCUUGAGUUUGCCUUUGUCAGAGAUUUUUGUCACAGCAACAAGAAAAGCCACUGAUUCUCAUAGUGGCAAUGUCAGCAGCACCAAGUGUGACCCCUGAGAGCAAACAUCAGGAACAGAAACCCUCCAAAGAUCUGAGUGCAGAUAUUGGUCCCGAGAAGAAAGAAGCUUUAAGAGGAGAGAGUGGUGGAGGUGACUGGUGCCUGGCUCUCUGCCAAGAAGCUGUUCACAGAUCACGUCACAUGGACACACCAGGCCAAGUGUGAACAUGCAAUGUUUCUUUGAAUCAAU
rnacentral:lncRNA from 1 species